rnacentral:rRNA from 1 species
UACGUAGGGUGCGAGCGUUGUCCGGAAUUAUUGGGCGUAAAGGGCUCGUAGGCGGUUUGUCGCGUCGGUCGUGAAAACCCAGGGCUUAACCCUGGGCUGGCUUCCGAUACGGGCAGACUAGAGGUAUGCAGGGGAGAACGGAAUUCCUGGUGUAGCGGCGAAAUGCGCAGAUAUCAGGAGGAACACCGGUGGCGAAGGCGGUUCUCUGGGCAUUACCUGACGCUGAGGAGCGAAAGGGUGGGGAGCGAACAGG